GUGUUAUAAUUUUGGGUUUAUUUAAAAUGUAUAUCCUUCUUUUAGGAGCGCCCAGUGUCGCAGUGGUUUAAACCGCUGAGCUGCUGAACUCACUGACUGAAAGGCUGGCAGUUCGAAUCUAGGGAGCAGAGUGAGCACCUGCUGUUAGCCCCAGCUUCUGCCAAUCUAGCAGUUUGAAAACAUGUGAAUGAAAUACGGCACAUCUCCUAAAACAAGGUGCAAUACAAUCUGAGGACUUCAAAAAGUUUUAAUUCAUGGUUUCCUGUAAGAACUAAAUUUCUUGCACAUCUUUCCUGUCAGCAUUCAAGUUCAGAGAAGACUUCAAUGGUGGUACAGUGUUCCCUCACUAGUUCGCGGUUCACUGUUUUGCGGUUUUUCAAUAAACUCUAAAAGACUAUUAUAAAUCAUAAAAAAUUAAAAAUUUACAGCCUAAGGAAGGAGAAGCCAAAGAGAGAGAAAAGGAGCCCAAGCGGCAACAGGAGGAGAAGGAGGUGAUUUAUCAACAUACGAUUGGUUGAUAAAGACUUAAAAUAGUGUAUAACUACUAAAAUAAUGUAUAAAUAUUAAAAUAAAUAUAGUAUCCCUACUUCACAGAUUUUGACUUAUUGCGGAUGGUCCUGGAACCUAACCCCAGCAAUAAGUGAGGGAACACUGUAGUUGUAUUUUAAUCUUGGAUGUGUAGCAGGUAGCUAGGACCACUGUUAAAAGGACUUAUGCCUGGCAAACACAAGCUAAUAAAAAUGGGCCAGAACAGAGGAACACUCACCAGGUUGAAGACAAGCCACAGAGUUUUACUGAAUUCAGCCAAAAGGGAUAGAAGUACAAGUGAAUGCUUCAAAAGUGCAAGCAUACCAUACAGAGAAAGCAUGUUGUCUUAUACAAAUUGAUAGUGUAAUGAAGUACGAAUUUUUGGUUUACAGAUGUUUACAGAUGUUUAAUUGUGUGUUUGUGUUUUAAAAGGGUAAGUAUUACAGUUAUUGCAUCUCAGCACUCAGGGGCUGGUUGCCAUGGAGAAGUAGGCAGAGCCAACUGCCGUUUUGUUGAAGAAGUGCAGAGUUUAAAAAAGGGAUUCAGUCUGUGCUCUGAUGAGGCACAGGGAAGAUUGAUCCUAGGUUGAGGGGAUCAAGGAGACUCAAUUGUUCAUUUUGAGUUGAUUUAAAAUAAGUUUGGCGACUUAUUUAUCGUAGUCUGUGUCCUGGUAAGGAACAGAGAAUCUGUGAUCGUAUAUCACAGGGGUGACUGCGGUUUAAAAGUAGCAGAGAAAGAAGUUUCAACUACUUUCAGUAAAAGAAGUGACAUUUUAGAGAAUUUGACUCAUUUAGUAUUGUAACUGUUAAUAAAAAAUACCUCUAAAUGAGAAACAACAUUGUAACCACUAAGCUCUGUGCCUGAAUAAACUUAUUAUUGUUCUUCCAA